UGGGGAAUAUUGGACAAUGGGCGAAAGCCUGAUCCAGCCAUGCCGCGUGUGUGAAGAAGGUCUUCGGAUUGUAAAGCACUUUAAGUUGGGAGGAAGGGCAGUAAGCGAAUACCUUGCUGUUUUGACGUUACCGACAGAAUAAGCACCGGCUAACUCUGUGCCAGCAGCCGCGGUAAUACAGAGGGUGCAAGCGUUAAUCGGAAUUACUGGGCGUAAAGCGCGCGUAGGUGGUUCGUUAAGUUGAAUGUGAAAGCCCCGGGCUCAACCUGGGAACUGCAUCCAAAACUGGCGAGCUAGAGUAGGGCAGAGGGUGGUGGAAUUUCCUGUGUAGCGGUGAGAUGCGUAGGUAUAGGAAGGAACACAAGUGGCGAAGGCGACCACCUGGGCUCAUACUGACACUGAGGUGCGAAAGCGUGGGGAGCAAACAGG
rnacentral:rRNA from 1 species